UACGGGGGGGGCAAGCGUUGUUCGGAAUUACUGGGCGUAAAGGGCGCGUAGGCGGUUCGCUAAGUUGGAUGUGAAAACUCUGGGCUUAACCCAGAGCCUGCAUCCAAAACUGGCAAACUUGAGUACUGGAGGGGAAAGCGGAAUUCCUGGUGUAGCGGUGAAAUGCGCAGAUAUCAGGAGGAACACCAAUUGCGAAGGCAGCUCGCUGGGACGUUACUGACGCUGAGACGCGAAAGCGUGGGGAGCAAACAGG
rnacentral:rRNA from 1 species